rnacentral:rRNA from 1 species
AGGGGGACAACAGCCGGAAACGGCUGCUUAUACCCCAUAGGCUGGGGAGCAAAAGGGAGGAAUCCCGGCCAAGGAGGGGCUUGCGUCUGAUUAGCUAGUUGGUGGGGCAAUGGCUUACCAAGGCAACGAUCAUUUUUUGUUCUGAUAUGAUGAUUAGUUACACUGGGACUGAGAACGGCCCAAACUCCUACGGGAGGCAGCAGCGGGGAAUUUUCCGUUUUGGGCGAAAGCCUGACGGAGCAAUGCC